AUGGGAGGUAAAGAUGGAACUGAGGGGAACAAGGACAAUGAUGAUGAUGAAGAAGAAGAGGAUGACGAAAAAGAAGAUGACGAAGGAAAGGAGGACGAUGACGAUGAAGAAGGCGAUGGGGAUGACAAAGACAAGGAAGAUGAUGGGCAGGGGAAGCAGGAUGAAGAUGAUGAGGAUGACAGCGGAGGUGGCAACGGUGGUUCAGGCAGCAAUGGUGGCUCCGAUCGGGACGGGGAUCCUGCAGCUGAAAAUGCAAGCAGUGAUGAUGAUGAACAAUGCACGCUGCAAUUUCUGAUUGAAAAGAAGAGGGACAGAAAGGCAAAAGGAUUGGAUGAGGCAGAUAGGAUAUCUAUCAGAGACCUUGUGACGACAGAAUUCAAAACUGUUGUUUCCCCAAAACCACGCUUCCCUGUUUUUGAAGUGAAAGAAAUGUUGGAUAUUGAUGACAUAUCCAUGGCAACCGAAGCGAGGAGGAUGUUCAAAGAGUUGUUGAGGGGGGAAGAUUUGGAUAUGGUCUUCACAUUCAACCCCAAGCAAAUAUGCCCAAAGGCGACUCGGCAGAAAAUAAUGAGAGAACUUGGCGCUCUAAAUGAAGCUACAGAACAAAAGACUGCUUGUCGAAACCAACUACCACCACUCCCGCCAUCAAAGAAGAUGAAGAAAACUGUUAGUUUCGUAUUGGAGCCAUCUGUGAUGAAUGAAACAGCAAUUCAUCCGCAGGCAUAUCGUGCCGAAAAUCCCGGUUACGACCAAGGGGGAAAGUCAAGGCAGUCAGCCAUGAAAAAAUCUGGUCCUCCCCAGCAGCAACAAUGGGCAAUUUCUGAAACAAAAGAGGCAAUCCAUGGGAAUGCCAAAACACAGGUGGUAAAGAGUACACCAUCAAGCUCAGCAGCACCCCCAUGCAGCAAAGUUGGAGAUGAGGCAGUACCUACAGGAGUAGAUUCGAAGCAGUCGGGUAAUUUUCAUUCUCAAUGUCAAGCAAGUGGAUCACAUAUUCUGGCAACUCAGUCUAAGGAGGAAACAAGACCAGCUGUUUUUUAG
rnacentral:rRNA from 1 species